CUACUGAGAUAAAAUUCAAUGCAUCUCUUUUCAUAAAUAUCUAACAGUGGCAUCAAAAUUCUACUGCUUUUGCCUGCAUAACCAUCUACCUGUCGUUCCAGCAGGUAGCAGGAGUGACUUCACUCAUUUGCUCAAGACACACGGGAACAGGCUGCCUCUGUAGCUCUGGAAGCAGUCAUUGUGGAAAGGGAAGUCUAAACCCUUCAAUGUCAAGGCAUUUAGAGGCACUCUGGCAUCAAUCAAGGUCUGCGUCCAGAUCAGAUGCUGUGGUGUGCAGAGAUCCUCUUAGGAGCUGCUGACGGCCCUUGAUUGCUAGCAUAUUUAGUGAAAUCCAAGAUAAUCAUCACAUUCCUAGUUUCAAGCUGCUAAUGCAUGAAGCACUCUUUUUCUGCCAUUUUCUUAUCAGCAUUGCAAUAUAUUAGUUAUGAUAGUAAUC
rnacentral:lncRNA from 1 species